rnacentral:rRNA from 1 species
GGCCAGACUCCUACGGGAGGCAGCAGUGGGGGAUAUUGCACAAUGGGGGAAACCCUGAUGCAGCGACGCCGCGUGGGUGAAGAAGCGCCUCGGUGCGUAAAGCCCUAUCGGCAGGGGAGAAAAGCGAACAGGUUCGCCUGGACGGUACCUGACUAAGAAGCCCCGGCUAACUACGGGCCAGCAGCCGCGGGAAUACGUAGGGGGCAAGCGUUAUCCGGAUUUACUGGGUGUAAAGGGGGCGCAGACGGCGGUGCAAGCCAGGAGUGAAAGCCCGGGGCCCAACCCCGGGACUGCUCUUGGAACUGCGUGGCUGGAGUGCAGGAGGGGCAGGCGGAAUUCCUGGUGUAGCGGUGAAAUGCGUAGAUAUCAGGAGGAACACCGGUGGCGAAGGCGGCCUGCUGGACUGCAACUGACGUUGAGGCCCGAAAGCGUGGGGAGCAAACAGGAUUAGAUACCCUAGUA